UGGGCGGAGUGUGGCAGCGGCAUCGGGCGCCGCAUGACGGUAUAUAAGACAGGCUGGGAUGGGCAGCCGUCACUUGCAUCCCAGUUACUCCUUUAUUCACUCUCCUCACUCACUCAAGAACUUAUAGUCAUGAGGUGCCUACUUAUGGUGGUCUGCCUGGCUGUCAUGGCAGUCGUGGCUCAGGCUUGCUAUGGCGGCGGAUUUGGUCGUCGAUGGUGCAGUGGUGGUUAUGGCGGCUAUGGCAGACACGGUGGAUUUGGUGGCUUUGGUAUUGGAGGCGGCCAUGGCAGAUAUGGCGGAUAUAGCGGACUUGGACUUGGCGGUAUUGGCGGCGGCUCUGGUUUUGUAGGCGGCCAUGGUGGAUUUCACGGCGGUUAUGGCAGAUAUAGCGGACUUGGUGGUUCUACCAACUUUGGUUUUGGAGGCGGCCGUGGUUGAUUUCACGGCGGUUAUGGCCGCGGUUAUGGCGGUAGAUAUGGUGGUUACUGUCAUGGUGGGUAUGGUGGUUGAUAUGGUGGCUAUACGUAUGGAAAGUAAGGCACCAUACAACACACACACCAUGUCGCGACACCCCCUACACACCAUAACUAUGUGAAAGAUACACCCACUCCUGUGUUCGACAUGUAAGGAAUCAAAUAAAGUAUUUCACUAUUUA